UGUUUUAAAAAAGUCUGACGACGACAAUUUCUGGAAAUCUUGUCAAGGGAAGAAAUUUCAGAUAUCAAAUUUACUGUGGGCCUGUGAAAAUAUAAUUCUUUUUCUUUUUUCAAUUUUUUCCUUCGGUUUUAUUUGGAUUUGAGUCAAUAUAGCCUAAAUACCACAUUUUUGGAUAUGAUGCCAAUGAAAGAAAUUUUCUUCCUCAAAUUUUCUAUGGUCUGACGGCGAUAUAUUUUUGAUAUUUUGUAAACGGAAGAAAUAUCAUACAUCAAGUUUGCUAUGGGCCUGUGAAAAUAGAAAGUAUCUGGACAGGAUAUAUACCACGAAAAUUACCACUCAUGCUCAUCUGAAUACUUCAUUUUUGGGAUAUGAUGUCGAUGGAAGAAAUUUUCUACAUGAAAUUUGCUAAGGAUAAGUGAAAAUUGAAAAUCUCUAGACAUGAUAUACAUCACGAAAAUCCAGCUUUUAAUGUGAUUUAUACAAAAACUAAAUAUUUAUGGUUUAAAUUUAAUCCAAUCUCGAUUAAGUGCCAAAAUGACCCCUAAAGCCACAUUUUUGACCGGCGAUGGCAAAGGAGAAAUUAUUGUACACAAAAUUUUAUUAUAGGUCACCAAACAAAUGAAAUCUGUAUAUACGAUAUAUUAUCGUGAAAAUGUAAUAACAAAUUUGUAAUAUAAAAUUUAAGAUUAUGUGGUGUUAUUUAAACAUGUGCUCAAUAAAUUUCAAAAAUUGCCCACAAAAUCCACAAUUUUUGGGUACGACGUGAAAGGCGAAAUGAUUCUAAACCAAAUUUCAAUAUGAGACGACGAACAAAAUAAAUCUGCUGAUAUCAUGGAUCAUCGUGAAAAUGGCGCUAACCAAUUUAAAAUUUACAUAUUGCACUAUUUUCUCAUACUUUUUAAUAAACUACCGAAAUCACCAUUGAAACCACAUUUUUAGGGGAUGAUGUCAAUGGAAAAAUUUUUCUAUAAAACAUUUUAUCGUUGGUCAGCGAACAAGAAAAAUCUGCAUAUAUCACAGAUCAAAGAGAAAACGGAACAAACAAAUUUAAAAUUUUUUAUUAUUGAAUUUUGUAUUUAUAUGAACGUGUACAUUAAAUUAGAGCCGAAGUCUACCAUUAUUGUUCCAGUUAGAGGGUUAGCAAAGAUGGAGAAAAUCUUCUACAGCAAAUUCCACCAUGGUUCAUAGAACAAAAGAAAUAUGUAAGUGUCCAAGUGGGAGCCGACCCAAUGCCAUUGGAACUAUUGAGAUUUCUUCUUUGUCAAUAUCGAAUCUUCUUUAACUUAGAAUGGUUUUCUUUCAACUUCUUCAAUGCGGGAAAGACGGGUUUGAUAGCCAAAGUUAGUAGGGUAUUCACAUCCUGAUUUGAGUCACCAUUUCCUUUGAACUGAUUCCAUUUGUCAAUAUUCAAUGAAUCUUCUUAGAUUAAAUUUGUUGUGUUCACGUAGCAUUUCUAUAAAAGGUGACAUCCUUGUGAAGCUAACUUUAGCUUAUUUCUAUUUUGUUGUGUCAUAUGACAAUGACAUAUUCCUCAAUUUCCAAUGAGUUUUUGUUUGCUUAUUUCGCCCAAGAAUGUCAUCCCCCAGGCACCAAAUCUUACAUAUUCCAGCAUUUUCGCCACGUUAAAUCAAUCAUUUUAUGGAAUCUGUUUUGAACGAUUCCAACAAUUAUUUGAAAAUUGUAUCUAUUCAGUUUUUUUAGCAAUGACAACCACUGACAGCCAGCUUAUACGGGAGCCACAAAUCGCGAAAUAUUUCAUAAUUUUAUAGCAUUGGCCGUCCCAUAAUGAUUGAAUUGUUACAAUUUUCCGCACCUAACUGUAUUUUUAACGGCAAAUCAAGAGCUCGAAAGAUUUACGUCCGUUUCAUAUCUAAAGAAAUUGAAAAAUGUUUGAGCUCAAAAUAAAUAACAAAGCCGCACCUAAUUUUGAAUUUUUUCUAACUUCGUUGCCGAAUUGAUUUGAAGCAGUCCAUCAAAGACAUUUUUCGGAUAUCUUGUCAACGGAAGAAAUUUCCCACAUCAAAUUUGCUACGGGUAGAUGAAAAUAUGAAGUCUCCAGACCGGAUAUAUACCACGAAGAUUAGCGCUCAAGAUCAGUAAUUCGUUUUGCAAUUUUCUCCUUCGUUUUUAUUUGGAUUUGAUUUAAUAUAGACUGAGUACCACAUUUUUGGGAUAUGAUGACAAUGGAAGAAAUAUUCUACGUCAAAUUUUCAAUGGGUGAGUGAAAAGUGGAAGUCUCCCGAUCACAAAAAUCCUGGUUUUAAUAUGAUAUAUACAAAAACUAAAUAUUGGUGUUGUUUUCGACCAGUGAUGCUAAUGGAGAAAUUGUUUUGCACAAAAUUUGAGUAUGGGUAAUCAAACAAAUAAAAUCUUUUUAACGAUA